ensembl:snRNA U6 U6 spliceosomal RNA
GUGCUUGCUUCAGCACAUAUACUAAAAAUUGGGACGAAUAGAGAAGAUUCGCAUGGCUGCUGCAACAAGGAUGACAUGCAAAUUCGUGAAGCGUUCCAUAUUUAA